rnacentral:rRNA from 1 species
UCUGACGACCAUAGCUUUGUGGUACCACCCCUUCCCAUCCCGAACAGGACCGUGAAACACAAACGCGCCGAUGAUAGUGAG